rnacentral:rRNA from 1 species
GAGAGUUUGAUCCUGGCUCAGAGUGAACGCUGGCGGUAGGCCUAACACAUGCAAGUCGAACGGCAGCACAGGAGAGCUUGCUCUCUGGGUGGCGAGUGGCGGACGGGUGAGGAAUACAUCGGAAUCUACUUUUUCGUGGGGGAUAACGUAGGGAAACUUACGCUAAUACCGCAUACGACCUACGGGUGAAAGCAGGGGAUCUUCGGACCUUGCGCGAUUGAAUGAGCCGAUGUCGGAUUAGCUAGUUGGCGGGGUAAAGGCCCACCAAGGCGACGAUCCGUAGCUGGUCUGAGAGGAUGAUCAGCCACACUGGAACUGAGACACGGUCCAGACUCCUACGGGAGGCAGCAGUGGGGAAUAUUGGACAAUGGGCGCAAGCCUGAUCCAGCCAUACCGCGUGGGUGAAGAAGGCCUUCGGGUUGUAAAGCCCUUUUGUUGGGAAAGAAAUCCAGCUGGCUAAUACCCGGUUGGGAUGACGGUACCCAAAGAAUAAGCACCGGCUAACUUCGUGCCAGCAGCCGCGGUAAUACGAAGGGUGCAAGCGUUACUCGGAAUUACUGGGCGUAAAGCGUGCGUAGGUGGUCGUUUAAGUCCGUUGUGAAAGCCCUGGGCUCAACCUGGGAACUGCAGUGGAUACUGGACGACUAGAGUGUGGUAGAGGGUAGCGGAAUUCCUGGUGU